UUUAAAUGGCCGCAGUAUCCUAACUGUGCAAAGGUAGCAUAAUCAUUAGUCUUUUAAUUGAAGGCUGGUAUGAAUGGUUGGACGAGAUAUUAACUGUUUCAUAAGAAUUUAUAAUAGAAUUUUAUUUUUUAGUCAAAAAGCUAAAAUAAAUUUAAAAGACGAGAAGACCCUAUAAAUCUUUAUAUUUAGAUAAUUAUAAUUUUGUAGAUUUUUUUUGUUAUGAUUAUUAAUAAUAUUUUAUUGGGGUGAUAUUAAAAUUUAAAAAACUUUUAAUUAAUUAAAUCAUUAAUUAAUGAAUAAUUGAUCCGUUAUUAACGAUUAAAAAUUUAAGUUACUUUAGGGAUAACAGCGUAAUUUUUUUGGAGAGUUCAUAUCGAUAAAAAAGAUUGCGACCUCGAUGUUGGAUUAAGAGAUAUAUUUAGGUGUAGCCGCUUAAAUGUUAAGUCUGUUCGACUUUUAAUUUCUUA
rnacentral:rRNA from 1 species